rnacentral:rRNA from 1 species
AAUGAACGCUGGCGGUAGGCCUAACACAUGCAAGUCGAACGGCAGCACAGUAAGAGCUUGCUCUUAAGGGUGGCGAGUGGCGGACGGGUGAGGCAUACAUCAGAAUCUACUUUUUCGUGGGGGAUAACGUAGGGAAACUUACGCUAAUACCGAAUACGACCUACGGGUGAAAGCAGGGGAUCUUCGGACCUUGCGCGACUGAAUGAGCCGAUGUCGGAUUAGCUAGUUGGGGGGGUAAAGGCCCACCAAGGCGACGAACCGUAGCUGGACUGAGAGGAUGAUCAGCCACACUGGAACUGAGACACGGUCCAGACUCCUACGGGAGGCAGCAGUGGGGAAUAUUCGACAAUGGGCGCAAGCCUGACGCAGCCAUACCGCGUGGGUGAAGAAGGCCUUCGGAUUGUAAAGCCCUGUUGUUUGGAAAGAAAAGCAGCGGGUGAAUACCUCGCUGUUCUGACGGUACCCAAAGAAUAAGCACCGGCUAACUUCGUG